AACAUACUCAUAUUAAUAUGCCUAAAUAGCACCUCUAAAUUGGCAAAGUAUAUAAACACUGAAGAUAGCGCAGAUCCGCAAAAACAUGCGAAUCCCUACUUUGAGGUGAAUUUAUUGUAUAUCAAUACACAUACGUACAACAUGCUGUAAAUAUAUGUAUUGGCGUCAUACGAAAUUCACCUUAAAG